ACAUCACCGGUUCUUGUGCGAUCACUGAAGUUAAGCAAUGUCGAGCCAGGCCAGUACCUAGAUGAAUGACGGCUUGAGAAUACCAGUUGCUGUAA